rnacentral:rRNA from 1 species
GACGAACGCUGGCGGCGUGCCUAAUACAUGCAAGUAGAACGCUGAAGGAGGAGCUUGCUUCUCUGGAUGAGUUGCGAACGGGUGAGUAACGCGUAGGUAACCUGCCUGGUAGCGGGGGAUAACUAUUGGAAACGAUAGCUAAUACCGCAUAAUAGUAGAUGUUGCAUGACAUUUGCUUAAAAGGUGCAAUUGCAUCACUACCAGAUGGACCUGCGUUGUAUUAGCUAGUUGGUGAGGUAGCGGCUCACCAAGGCAACGAUACAUAGCCGACCUGAGAGGGUGAUCGGCCACACUGGGACUGAGACACGGCCCAGACUCCUACGGGAGGCAGCAGUAGGGAAUCUUCGGCAAUGGACGGAAGUCUGACCGAGCAACGCCGCGUGAGUGAAGAAGGUUUUCGGAUCGUAAAGCUCUGUUGUAAGAGAAGAACGAGUGUGAGAGUGGAAAGUUCACACUGUGACGGUAUCUUACCAGAAAGGGACGGCUAACUACGU